rnacentral:tRNA from 1 species
GCUCGGGUGGUGGAAUGGCAUACACGCAUGCUUGAGGUGCAUGUGCCGCAAGGCGUGGGGGUUCAAGUCCCCCCGAGCACCA